rnacentral:piRNA from 1 species
UAUAACUCCACUUUCAUGGGAUCUGGU